rnacentral:rRNA from 1 species
CCUACGUGGGGCAGCAGUGGGGAAUAUUGGGCAAUGGGCGCAAGCCUGACCCAGCAACGCCGCGUGAAGGAAGAAGGCUUUCGGGUUGUAAACUUCUUUUCUGAGGGACGAAGAAAGUGACGGUACCGCAGGAAUAAGCCACGGCUAACUCCGUGCCAGCAGCCGCGGUAAUACGUAGGUGGCAAUCGUUAUCCGGAUUUAUUGGGUGUAAAGGGCGUGUAGGCGGGAAAGCAAGUCAGAUGUGAAAACUCAGGGCUCAACCCUUAGCCUGCAUUUGAAACUGUUUUUCUUGAGUGCUGGAGAGGCAAUCGGAAGUACGUGUGUAGCGGUGAAAUGCGUAGAUAUAAGGAGGAACACCAGGGGCGAAGGCGGAUUGCUGGACAGUAACUGACGCUGAGGCGCGAAAGCGUGGGGAGCAAACAGGAUUAGAUACCCGUGUAGUC